UACGUAGGCAGCGAGCGUUGUUCGGAGUUACUGGGCGUAAAGCGUGCGUAGGCGGUGUCUUAAGUUUGUUGUGAAAUCUCCCGGCUUAACCGGGAGGGUGCGGCGAAUACUGAGAUGCUGGAGUGCCGGAGAGGUAAGCGGAAUUCCUGGUGUAGCGGUGAAAUGCGUAGAGAUGUGGAGGAAUACCGAUGGCGAAGGCAGCCCCCUGGGAUAACACUGACGCUCAUGCACGAAAGCGUGGGGAGCAAACGGG
rnacentral:rRNA from 1 species